AGCAUGACUAUACCUGUCACUAACUGUUUAGCUGCAAUAUACAUUGUUGGAGUUGUUAUUGGUAGUCUAGCUUCAGAUGCUUGGAAGAUUCCAUGUUUUUCCAUUUUCUGUGACAAGUUCAAUAUACUAAAUCAGUACUUUGUCAAGUUAUGCUGGGGAUGGUCCCUAUUCCUGUGUUUAACAUUGUUUACUAUAAAACUUUGGCGGCAGCUCAUUGAUAAUAAAGAUUACUGUGCAGUGUGGCUCCACUUUGUGGCUGGAACAUUUAUUUGGUUCACUGGGACAAAAUCGGUAGAUUAUAUUAAAGACAGUUACGGGAUAUGUGAAACGGGUGCUAAUGUUACAACAGAGUCAAAUAAAGUAAAAUGCAGAAAUGAAAUGAAUGGUCAGUGGGUACCAGAUCUAGAUAUUUCAGGUCACAUCUUCAUGAUGGUCUUCUGUUGUCUUUUAAUAGCCUACGAAGAGGAGCGUUUCUAUAGACCAGAACAUUUUAUAAAGGCAGUCGAAAUAGUGACUCCUGCUGAAACUUUAUCAAGUGACAAUGAAGAUGACGAACCAGUUAAAACGAUAAAGCGGACUGAGACUGAGAACCAGGAGAAAUGUGUUGUGCCUGAUGUAUUGUUACAGUUCAUGGAUAGAUUUGUUACGAGUAUUGUCUUUGUUAUCUUCAGUAUUUUUAAUUUGAUGAUGAUAAUGACGACGCUGUACUUUCAUACACCCAUUGAGAAGGUGUUGGGUGUUGCUAUGGGUGUUUGUGGGUACGUACUGAUAUCGUUCAAGUACCCUUGGCUAUGUUUCCCUCAAAACUGCAAAACCGUCUCUAGAAAAAAAUGAUAUUGAACAAAAAAUAGAUUUAUUCAGUUGGUUUUUGAUUUAAAAAAAGAAAUAUUUGAUGAUAUUUGUAUUUUGUGAUUAAUUGACAGAAAUUUGUAAUAAAGUACAUGAUGGUGUGCAGUAAAUACCUGCUGUGAUUAAAAAGGUAUUUUGGGGUUUUUAAUUUUUAAUCAGAUCUUUGUUAUUGUGUUAAAUGUAAGAUUAUGUUAAUGAUUAUGAUAAUGUACGAACUUUGAAAUUUGAUAUGUAUGCUAAAAGUGCAC